rnacentral:rRNA from 1 species
GAUGAACGCUAGCGGGAGGCCUAAUACAUGCAAGUCGAACGGUAACAGGUAGCAAUACGCUGACGAGUGGCGCACGGGUGCGUAACGCGUACACAAUCUGCCUUAUACUGGGGCAUAGCCUUUGGAAACGAAGAAUAAUUCCCCAUAAUAUAUAGAAGAGGCAUCUCUUUUAUAUUAAAGCUCAGGCGGUAUAAGAUGAGUGUGCGUCCGAUUAGGUAGUUGGUGAGGUAACGGCUCACCAAGCCAACGAUCGGUAGCUGGUCUGAGAGGAUGAUCAGCCACACGGGCACUGAGACACGGGCCCGACUCCUACGGGAGGCAGCAGUAGGGAAUAUUGGACAAUGGGCGCAAGCCUGAUCCAGCCAUCCCGCGUGAAGGAUGAAGGUCCUCUGGAUUGUAAACUUCUUUUCUUCGGGAAUAAAAACUGGGGUUCUCCUCAGCUUGAAGGUACCGAAGGAAUAAGCACCGGCUAACUCCGUG